UACGGAGGGUGCAAGCGUUAUCCGGAUUCACUGGGUUUAAAGGGUGCGUAGGUGGGUUGGUAAGUCAGUGGUGAAAUCUCCGUGCUUAACAUGGAAACUGCCAUUGAUACUACUGAUCUUGAAUUUUCAGGAGGUAAGCGGAAUAUGUCAUGUAGCGGUGAAAUGCUUAGAUAUGACAUAGAACACCAAUUGCGAAGGCAGCUUACUACAGGAAUAUUGACACUGAUGCACGAAAGCGUGGGAUCAAACAGG
rnacentral:rRNA from 1 species